UUCCGGUUGAUCCUGCCGGACCUGACUGCUAUCGGAUUGAUACUAAGCCAUGCGAGUCAUUGUAGCAAUACAAGGCAGACGGCUCAGUAACGCGUAGUCAACCUAACCUAUGGACGGGAAUAACCUCGGGAAACUGAGAAUAAUGCCCGAUAGAACACUAUGCCUGGAAUGGUUUGUGUUCCAAAUGAUUUAUCGCCGUAGGAUGGGACUGCGGCCUAUCAGUUUGUUGGUGAGGUAAUGGCCCACCAAGACUAUUACAGGUACGGGCUCUGAGAGGAGUAGCCCGGAGAUGGGUACUGAGACACGGACCCAGGCCCUAUGGGGCGCAGCAGGCGAGAAAACUUUGCAAUGUGCGAAAGCACGACAAGGUUAAUCCGAGUGGUUUGUGCUAAACAGACCUUUUGUUAGUCCUAGAAACACUAACGAAUAAGGGGUGGGCAAGUUCUGGUGUCAGCCGCCGCGGUAAAACCAGCACCUCAAGUGGUCAGGAUGAUUAUUGGGCCUAAAGCAUCCGUAGCCGGCUCUGUAAGUUUUCGGUUAAAUCUGUAUGCUCAACAUACAGGCUGCCGGGAAUACUGCAGAGCUAGGGAGUGGGAGAGGUAGACGGUACUCGGUAGGAAGGGGUAAAAUCCUUUGAUCUAUUGAUGACCACCUGUGGCGAAGGCGGUCUACCAGAACACGUCCGACGGUGAGGGAUGAAAGCUGGGGGAGCAAACCGGAUUAGAUACCCGGGUAGUCCCAGCUGUAAACUAUGCAAACUCAGUGAUGCAUUGGCUUGUGGCCAAUGCAGUGCUGCAGGGAAGCCGUUAAGUUUGCCGCCUGGGAAGUACGUACGCAAGUAUGAAACUUAAAGGAA
rnacentral:rRNA from 1 species